UUUUUAACACAGCAGUAACCAGGAUGUAAACCUGAACUUCUACAGAACCCUAGGUUAGAUUCCUGUUUAUUAUGAGAUUGUAAAUUCCCACUGCGUGGAGGCCAUCUUCUUGAACGUCGGGAACAAGAACCUUGUUUGGCCUAGAGUAGAAUAAGAACCAGGAUAAAGUUCUGACUGCCCUCAUUUCCGAAGAAUCCUUGGAAAUAGUGACAGCGGAAGAAAGACGUAUGCCAGUACAUUACAAUGAGAGUAUUUCUAUUCAUUGAAGGGACCUGCUCUGAACAGGGAGGAAACUUGGGGAACCUGGCUUCUGUAAGGCUUGCCCUAAGGGUCAAGUCUGGAAAAUCGAAGUUCCUCUCCAGAACAUAAAACAACACAUGGACCUCAGGACCAAACUCUCUGAUUCCAAUUACCCCUGCCGAGCUUGACGGCUAAGUAAUUGUUGAUCCCUCUGAAAAGAAAACUGUCGAAAUAUCUACUAGAAAUGUUUGCACCACAGCAAGAUAACCGCCUACAGGCGAUAAAGAGCGCCUACUCUGAUUCCUCCUUGCCGGUUGACGUAUAUGAACCCAGUGUACAGGAGUCCACUUGAAUCUAUAUGGCCUUCCGCUGCAUCCACUGACUGGAGGGGUGAAGGCGGAAAGCAUUGCUGAAACCCCCGAAACUGCGGAUUUUCCCUCAACCUAAACCUCGAAGUAUGAUGGAAACUAGAUAAGCUCACCAAACAAUUACGAGAGCAUCUGUAAUGAACUUCAGACGCAAGAAACAGGCCUCCUGAAAGGAACUCUGAGGACUUACACCAAGAAAGUAGAGCUUUUACACGAUGGGAAAAAUUGAAGAAAAAAAACCCCACCCAUGUAGAGCCUCUACCUUUCCCGACUAGGCUUAUAGAAUCUCCCAUUUAGAGUCCACUAAAGGACUAAGCUCUGAUGGAACAAUAUCUUUCAAAUCCGGAUCUGCUUCUACCAACUCCCUUACUCUAUGGUUGGAAAAAGAAAACCAACAACCUGUUGGACUGAAACACGAGACUAAGGAACUCCUUGAAAGGGAAUAAGGAUCCCUGGAUGUCUGGUAGAACUGAUGGCGUCAGACAUGUCUAC